AUUGAACGCUGGCGGCAUGCCUUACACAUGCAAGUCGAACGGUAACUGGUCUUCGGAUGCUGACGAGUGGCGAACGGGUGAGUAAUACAUCGGAACGUGCCUAGUAGUGGGGGAUAACUACUCGAAAGAGUGGCUAAUACCGCAUGAGAUCUACGGAUGAAAGCAGGGGAUCGCAAGACCUUGCGCUACAAGAGCGGCCGAUGGCAGAUUAGGUAGUUGGUGGGAUAAAAGCUUACCAAGCCGACGAGCUGUAGCUGGUCUGAGAGGAGGAUCAGCCACACUGGGACUGAGACCCGGCCCAGACUCCUACGGGAGGAAGCAGUGGGGAAUUUUGGACAAUGGGCGCAAGCCUGAUCCAGCAAUGCCGCGUGCAGGAUGAAGGCCUUCGGGUUGUAAACUGCUUUUGUACGGAACGAAAAGCCCCGGGUUAAUACCCUGGGGUAAUGACGGUACCGUAAGAAUAAGCACCGGCUAACCACGUGCCAGCAGCCGCCGUAA
rnacentral:rRNA from 1 species